AUGAUGUUGACUCGAAAGGUGCAAUUGCAUCACUAAGAGAUGGACCUGCGUUGUAUUAGCUAGUUGGUGACGUAACGGCUCACCAAAGGCGACGAAUACAUAGCCGACCUGAGAGGGUGAUCGGCCACACUGGGACUGAGACACGGCCCAGACUCCUACGGGAGGCAGCAGUAGGGAAUCUUCGGCAAUGGGGGCAACCCUGACCGAGCAACGCCGCGUGAGUGAAGAAGGUUUUCGGAUCGUAAAGCUCUGUUGUAAGAGAAGAACGAGUGUGAGAGUGGAAAGUUCACACUGUGACGGUAACUUACCAGAAAGGGACGGCUAACUACGUGCCAGCAGCCGCGGUAAUACGUAGGUCCCGAGCGUUAUCCGGAUUUAUUGGGCGUAAAGCGAGCGCAGGCGGUUAGAUAAGUCUGAAGUUAAAGGCUGUGGCUUAACCAUAGUACGCUUUGGAAACUGUUUAACUUGAGUGCAGAAGGGGAGAGUGGAAUUCCAUGUGUAGCGGUGAAAUGCGUAGAUAUAUGGAGGAACACCGGUGGCGAAAGCGGCUCUCUGGUCUGUAACUGACGCUGAGGCUCGAAAGCGUGGGG
rnacentral:rRNA from 1 species